rnacentral:lncRNA from 1 species
GUCAACUACCAACAACCCCAUUAGUGUAGUGACUACCACUUUUGCAUGCUCUCAUAAUGAAGGAUCUAAUGGAACUGCAGCAGCUCCCGGCGAUACUGCCUCCGAAAGAGAACCAGCAGAAACGACAUCACGCGGUGAUAAAGACUCUGAAGAUAAGCCAAAACCAAGGACGUCAC